rnacentral:rRNA from 1 species
AUUGAACGCUGGCGGCAUGCUUUACACAUGCAAGUCGGACGGCAGCACAGAGAAGCUUGCUUCUUGGGUGGCGAGUGGCGAACGGGUGAGUAACAUAUCGGAACGUACCGAGCAGUGGGGGAUAACUAAUCGAAAGAUUAGCUAAUACCGCAUAUCUUCUGAGGAAGAAAGCAGGGGACCAUUUGGCCUUGCGCUGUUUGAGCGGCCGAUAUCUGAUUAGCUAGUUGGUGGGGUAAAGGCCUACCAAGGCGACGAUCAGUAGCGGGUCUGAGAGGAUGAUCCGCCACACUGGGACUGAGACACGGCCCAGACUCCUACGGGAGGCAGCAGUGGGGAAUUUUGGACAAUGGGCGCAAGCCUGAUCCAGCAAUGCCGCGUGACUGAAGAAGGCCUUCGGGUUGUAAAGGACUUUUGUCAGGGAAGAAAAGGGCGGGGUUAAUACCCCUGUCUGAUGACGGUACCUGAAGAAUAAGCACCGGCUAACUACGUG